AGUGUAGCAGAUUGCUGGUAAGAAUUGCUGUCAAAAUACUUUCAAAAUUUGUCAGUAUUUGAUCUGAUGCUGUAGUAUUCACUAGAAUAUUAAACUUGUAAAAGACAAAAAUCCAAACUUAGGUUUAAAUGUAGACCUUUCUGGGUUUUAAUCAAGAAACAUAAUAACAAUGCCAGUGCUAACUAUUCUGCUAGCUGGCCAUCAGAGGAAAAUUUUUCAAGGAGUGAAAUUGCUUUAGAAACAUUAAUGCUGAUUAUUAUUAUUAUAUGAUGGUAGAAGAAAACUUUUAAAACAAAUUUUACAAGUUACAAGUUUUAGAAUUUGGACUUUCCUGGCUUUAGCUUAGUCACAGCCAGUUUAAACUAGCCAGCCAACAGAGACAUUUUUCUAGCAAGCGUUGAUGUUAUUUUGGAAAGUUAUUAAUAUUAAUUUUGUUCAUAUAAUUCACAAAAUGUAACUAUCAGAACUUUUAAUGGAUUUUAAUUUAAAAUUUUUCUAAAUAAAAGUGCAACAAACUUGGAGCUAAAGCUAAUUUUAAUUUCUAUGGUAGCCAAUAAGCACUAAUGUUGUUUAAGAAUGGUGAUGACUUUUAAUAUGCUGUUUAAUUAGUUAAAAAUAUUCGCAAAACUGUAACAACUUAUGAAAAUUCAAAAAUUUCUUAUGAUGGAUUUAUUCCACUCCCACUAUCCCUAACAACCAUUCAUAUUAAAGGAAAUGAUUCAUAUUCAGUGUGAUGCUUGACUAGUUUAAAAUAAAAAGUGAUCACAGAAAUUCAAUAGCUUAUAAAACAUUAAAUUACAGUUUCUGGCUUUCAGACUUGGUGUUGGGUAGCCUAACAUUAGUUAGCCUAAAAAUAAUUAGAUGUAGAUUAAUACAUUUGAUAGCCAUUUUCUAUUUCCGGUGUAAUACCAAUUUAGCUGAGAGCUAGCAGUGACUGAUGUAGCAGUAACAGUGUUCCCAAAGGGUCAGAUUUUUAUUUUUGUAAUAAAUUUACCACUAGAAAUAAAACGAUAUUGGUGUGUGUAGGAAUAAAUCUACUGCAAAUGCAAAGCGUUUGUGUUAGAGUUGAUGUGCUUCAACAACAACAUUCAAGAAUUGUUCAAUGCUGAACUGAGCUUAGCACAGAAGCCCUAAAAGGAGAUCACCCAAGUUGUUUAGCAUCUGUAGAGCAUCCUGAACUAUUAUCAUAUUCAAAGGAUAGUUGAAUUACUUAAGUUGACCAAAUAUCACCCACACCUCCUUCUCAUAUUAGGUACAAUACAGCAAAAACAAACUUAACUUAGCGAACAAAAAAAAUAUAUGUGCAUCACAACACUAUAGAUAAAUACAUCUUGGCUUAAUGAAAAACCAGCAAAGCAGAAAUUGUCAUCCAACUUGUCCUUUACAAAAACAAUUAAGUUGCCGACGUGGUUGUGACAAUGAAAAGACAUUCAAAACUAAAGCGUCAAAUCAACUGCGUGACGAUGACAAAACAUGACAAGAUGAACAAUCGUGAAAAAGAGACUGAGUGGUCACGUCCGCCCAGGCCCUGUGGGUUCCCCCCAAAUGAACCCCUGAACAUUCCUUGGCCCCAAAAGUACCAUGUGUCCAAACAUUUAAGCCUCUUCAAAGUUGGCCGAAAAACCCUAAACGUUUGGACAGCACCUGACUUUGAAGUCCAACUAAUCCUCCCACACCAGAGGCAGUCCAGAGUAAAGUGUUGAGUAGUCUAUUGCAUGAGCGCCGCGUAGUCGACUUAUGUGACAAGUCACAAUAGUCCUUGUACAAAAGAAAACAUAAGGUAG